rnacentral:rRNA from 1 species
GACGUAGGUGGCGAGCGUUGUCCGGAUUUACUGGGCGUAAAGGGAGCGUAGGCGGACUUUUAAGUGAGAUGUGAAAUACCCGGGCUCAACUUGGGUGCUGCAUUUCAAACUGGAAGUCUAGAGUGCAGGAGAGGAGAAUGGAAUUCCUAGUGUAGCGGUGAAAUGCGUAGAGAUUAGGAAGAACACCAGUGGCGAAGGCGAUUCUCUGGACUGUAACUGACGCUGAGGCUCGAAAGCGUGGGGAGCAAACAGGAUUAGAUACCCG